rnacentral:misc_RNA from 1 species
UAUGAGCACUUUGACUGAAGAUGGUGUAAUUUCAGUAAAGAAUGCAGCUUGUGAGAGGUUAUUGAAUCAAAGGGUGGAGUUGAAAAUGAAGUCGAAAAAGUUGAAUGACUGCUUGAACCGUUUCCAUGUUGCUAUGCCAAAACCACGUGACCAGAAAGAGAGGCCACCAUGCAUACCCGAGGCAGUGUUGGAAGCCAGAGCGAAGCAGG